rnacentral:lncRNA from 1 species
GCAGACAGCUCAUAGGGCAACCGGCGAUUGCCACCAACCUUGAGGACUUGGGUUCGAUUCCCUGGGAACCACGUGGAGCUGGGAGUGCGGACAUACAUGUCAAGUGAGUGUUCCACUACCCAGCAAAAUCUCCAGCCCCCGGUAAUGUAUUUCUUGUUGUUGUUGGGUUGUUUUUUUUUUCCUUUUUUAUUUUCAUUUUUUCCUUUGAUAAAUUUCUUGGGUUUCAGCUACCUGGAAAUUAUCAAUGACUGCACGUGCCCAGCUCUUCUGGACCCUCUGAUGUUCUGUCACAUGGGAGCAAAUGGAGAGCUGGGACAUCCUUUGACCUCAGCCCUCAAAGGAUAAUUAACUUCUUGCUCAAUCCCUCAGCAUUUGACCAAAAUACCAAGAUAAAAAUGUAGGCCCGUGUUAGUACAAAAGGUCCUGCAUUCAACUGUCCUCCUUAUAUUGCCCAAGAAGUCUUGUGGAAUUCCAAGAAGAAUUCAAGGGGCCAGACCUGGAAUAUGCAUCAAUGAGAAUAAGACACUGACGAAGCUAACGACACUAACGGGGAAUGAGGAUAAUCGACUCCUGUCCUUUGUUUUACUCUUUAACCUAGUAAUAAAUCCCUUUAAAGGCCCGUGGUA